CACGUAGGGUGCAAGCGUUGUCCGGAAUUAUUGGGCGUAAAGGGCUCGUAGGCGGUCCGUCACGUCGGGAGUGAAAACUCGGGGCUCAACCCCGAGCCUGCUUCCGAUACGGGCGGACUAGAGGUAGGUAGGGGAGAACGGAAUUCCUGGUGUAGCGGUGGAAUGCGCAGAUAUCAGGAGGAACACCGGUGGCGAAGGCGGUUCUCUGGGCCUUACCUGACGCUGGAGGAGCGAAAGCGUGGGGAGCAAACAGG
rnacentral:rRNA from 1 species